UAGCUCAUUAUACCAUCUCUUGUUGUUUUACAGAUUUCGAGAACUAGUCUAUUGGGGAUUCAAAAUAGGAGAGCGACUAGAAGGAUUGUGGCACAAGUUAUCUUAGAUUAGGGUUAUUUAAGUUGAUUUGUUAUUAUGGACAUUUAUUAUGAUUGGUGGACUUUUAUUAUUUUAAGAACUAGGUUUCUGCAUGUUGGUAAAUGAUUAUUCCGCUGCGUAUUUAGACUUGUGAGACAUUAUGACUCGAGUUAGUAAAUGGAAUAAGAUUGCAUUUAUUCUGUUAAAUUAUUUUAGAAUUACA
rnacentral:lncRNA from 1 species